ACGGGGCCCGCACAAGCGGCGGAGCAUGCGGAUUAAUUCGAUGCAACGCGAAGAACCUUUACCAAGGCUUGACAUACGCCGGUAACGCCCAGAGAUGGGUGCCCCUUUGUGGUCGGUGUACAGGUGGUGCAUGGUUGUCGUCAGCUCGUGUCGUGAGAUGUUGGGUUAAGUCCCGCAACGAGCGCAACCCUCGUCCUAUGUUGCCAGCGGGUCAUGCCGGGGACUCAUGGGAGACUGCCGGGGUCAACUCGGAGGAAGGUGGGGAUGACGUCAAAUCAUCAUGCCCCUUAUGUCUUGGGCUUCACGCAUGCUACAAUGGCCGGUACAAAGGGCUGCGAUACCGCGAGGUGGAGCGAAUCCCAGAAAGCCGGUCUCAGUUCGGAUCGCAGUCUGCAACUCGACUGCGUGAAGUCGGAAUCGCUAGUAAUCGCGGAUCAGCAUGUCGCGGUGAAUACGUUCCCGGGUCUU
rnacentral:rRNA from 1 species